UACGAACUGUGCGAACGUUAUUCGGAAUCACUGGGCUUAAAGGGUGCGUAGGCGGUUUGUUAAGUCAGGUGUGAAAGCCCCCGGCUCAACCGGGGAACAGCGCUUGAAACUAGCAGACUGGAGUGAGGCAGGGGUGUGCGGAACUUCCAGUGGAGCGGUGAAAUGUGUAGAUAUUGGAAGGAACGCCGGCGGCGAAAGCGGCACACUGGGCCUUGUCUGACGCUGAGGCACGAAAGCUAGGGGAGUGAACGGG
rnacentral:rRNA from 1 species